rnacentral:lncRNA from 1 species
AUUUGCUCAUGUCUCAUUCCUCACAUUUAAAAACUCCCUUGUAGAAGCAAACUGGAAGGAUGAGGAAUACAAGGUCUGAAUUCAAAGUCAGGGCCCUCGUUACAGCUGGGACAGAGUUAAUUUUCUUCAUAGCAUCUGGUAUGGUGCUAUGACAACACACCAAUGUUUUAUUUGUUUCUGAGCAGUGGUUGCACAGAGUCAAAAGACAUUUCAGCUUCCCCUAUUGCCCUGCCAGUGAGGGGACUAAGGGUGGCACAAGAAGCUGAAAGAGGAUGGAACCAGGACAGCUGAUCUAAACUUUCCAAAGGGAUAUUCUAUACCAUGUGACAUAAUGUGAAAGAUAUAAAACUGAGGGCAGUCGGCCAGAGGGACAGUCGCUGCUCAGCAACUGGAUGGGCAUCAGUCAGUGGGUGGUAAGCAAUUGUGUUGUGUGUCUCUUGCUUUGUAAAUAUGCAUAUAUAUAUACUUAUCAUUGUUAUUAUUUCUCUCUUCCUUUUUUGUCUUAGUAAGUAGCUUUUAUCUCAGCCUUCAAGUUCCAAUUUUGUUUCCCCAAUUCUCUCCCCAUUUCAUUGGAAGAGUGUAACUUGAGAGAAUGACUGUGUGGAGCUGAGCUGCCUGCUGUGUUAAACCACAACAGCCAGGUAGUGAUAUUAUUUCCCUCAAAAAUAUCUGAGUUAUAAAAAAGCAAUUAUUUCCUAUAACCCUUAUACAUUAUUUCCCUUCCUCUUUUAAACUUGCAGUUGCUUUCUCCACACUGUAUUAUCGUGGGACAAAAUUUAUUAUAAUUUCCCUCAGCCACAGGGAAGGUUUACUUAAAAUGCAAUUCUACCUUGAAAAUGAUUAUUUUAAUAUACUAUCAGAGAUUCUCUGUUCACUAUGCUCCAAUGAUUUCAAUAUUAAACAUGCUAGUAAUGAAUAUAAAAUAAAAUAAAAUAAAAUAAAAUAAAAUAAAAUAAAAUAACCGUCAGCCAUACAAACUCAGCCUAAAAGCCAAACUGUCUUCUCCCUUUAAAGGAAUAACUGUUUCUGCAGGCUAAGUUAUACCUCAAUUACAACUGUGCAGCUUCAUGUUCUUCUGAUUGUUUCCCAUGACAGCUGCAGUACCCUAUUGACAUCAGUGUUUUUAUGCAUGUGUAAUGUUGGCUAACUGGAACCCACUUAGCCUUGUUGUAGCUGAUUUUCUAGAUGAGACUGCAUCAUAUUCCUCUUCCUUAAUGUUUUGCUAAAGUUAAUGUAGAGGAAAAUAAUUUCAGGUAUCCUACAUUUUUUGUGACUAUACUCAAGACUGUACCAUAUUAAGAAGGAUAUAUUUAUUUGUUCAGAAGAAAAAUAUGUCUAAUACUUAAUGACAGUGUAUCCUGAAAGUCAAUGGAGUGUACCUUAUAUUUCCAUACCUCAGAAAAACCUACUGAAGAACUUGGGUUUAUAAUUGGUACAAGACAACACAUUCAAUGUGGCUUUAUGCAAGUGAAAAAAACUUGAUUAUCUAUAUACUGUGUUUGUACUAAACACCUAAGCUGGUAAAUCUUUCAGUAGGAAUUCUUAACCUGUGAUAAUGCCCGUAUUCUUGUGCUACCGCUGUUCUAGAGAGGAAGCUUUAGAAAUCUGUGAGCAAAAUCACGUAUUUUAAAAGACAGCCCAGGAUACAACUGGCUUUCUUACCUGCAGGUGCACAUUGCUGGCUCAACUUCAGUUUUCCAUGUCCUUCUCUGCAGAGUUGCUCUCUAUCUACUCAUUGCCCAGCUUGUAUUCAUGCUUGGGUUUGCCCCAGUCCACAUGCAGGACCCUGCCUUUUGCCUUUUUGAGUUUCAUGAGGUUCACAUGUGCCCAGUUCUCAAGGCUGUCAAGGUCCCCUUGGAUGCCAUCCUUUCCCUCCACAUCACUCAGCUUGGUGUCAUAGCCACAAACUAACUGAGGCACUCAAUCCCACUGUCCACAUCACUGACAAAGACGUUAGAUUAUACUGGUAGUUCAAAACUGUUCGUAGUGUAAUUUGGAAUUAUCCAAAAGUAAUAAAAUAAUGAAUGUCAGAAGACAUAAGUUGAGUGUUCUAGGCAAUUAUGCUUAGCUUACUUGAAUGCUUCCAUCCAGAAAAAUCCAUCAGUAAUCUGAAAUUUCAUACCAUAGCUGUAUCAGCAUGAACAAACAUGGGGACAUACACAGCAGCUCUUUUAGAAGUGUCACUGUAUAAUAUGCAGGAAAGCUCUGAGGAUGAACAAAUUUUAUUUUGCAAAAUAAUAUUGUUUCAAAAUUUCAUCAUAAAGGCUUUUUUAAGAAAAAAAGUAGAAGUUGUAAACAUUACAUUUUUAAGGUCCUUUUUUUUUUGCUUUUUUGAAACUGAUAAGCUGGAAUAAUUCUUAUUUUCAGUAGACAAGUAAUUUGUUUUUAUUUCUGUACUAUUUGUGAUGAUUUCUGUUACAGUAUGGGUAAAUAAAUGUGUGGAACUAGAAUAAGAUAAACUUCAAAUAUACUUAGAAUAUAAAUCACUUUUUUUUUUUUUUCCAUGGUAAGACAUUUGACAUCUGCUACAAUUUAGGAUCAGGCAGAUAACCAGACUGAAUUAAUUAAAAAUGAUUAUAGCUAUCCUGAAGAGCUAAUGAAAGUUAUAACCUGAAAAAAAUUAGUGUAAAUAUGGCCUUUAAUUAGUGUAGGAAAAAAUACGCUUAUCUGUAUUAAGAAUAAACAUUUUCAAAUUGAGAUCUAAAAGUUUGCAAAUAGAUUAGUGGUAGUUUAGAGCAUGCAGAAUAUAAGUUCAGUUUCAAAAUAAAAAGCAAACAAACGACCAACUAGUUUGAGUGUUGCCCAAAAACACUUCAGUAACAAUAACUAUGAUAUUAAGUUGAAGCUUGCUGUCUUAAGCAAUCAAUUCUGUUUUUCAGAUCUCAUUUGAAUACUCUCAUUAUCUUCAUGUGCUAUUCUUUCUGCCAACUACUCUAACAAAACUGCUUAGUUUGUGCUUCUGUAGGUCUUGAACUCAUUGCUUUAAAUAUGCUAUCAACACUAAAGCCCUUUGAAAAUCGAAUUUCCUAUCAGAUAAUUUGUUUUACCUUGUGCCAUAAAAUCAGGUAUCUCAUACAAUGAAGCCUGAAAUGUAGCUGAGGGCAGCUUGAAAUGUAAUGCACUAUAAUCAGGAUGAAGAAACUUCAUCUAGAAAAACACUUUGUUAAACUUGCUUUACCCAAAAACCAAACAAGUAUAAAUCAAGAGAUUCAAAUAUAUGUAUUUUACCCAUCUAAGAGAUAAAUUAUCACCCUCAUACAACUUCAGAAGUAUUACAUCUUGUUCUGGUCUGAGCAUCCAGUCCAUAAGUUGCAAGUAGUCUAUCCCACACAAAAAUUUGAAAAAAAAAAAUGUUAAUGGGAUGGAGGGAAUUUACUUUAAUGAAACAUUUUCAAGUGUUUGAGCUUGUAAAUUUUCUGCCUGACUUUAUCUAGACUAUCUACUCUUCACUUACACUGCUAUUCUCCAACUUAAAAUGCUUCCUUGUCUUUUUGGCCUACACAUGCUGUUACAGAGGAAGAAGCAUAAUUGCUUUGUUGCUGCAUACUCUUUAUGAAUGAAAUUCACAUUUCAUAUUCAGAAUACUCAUUAAAUUAGAUUAAAUUAUUAAAUAUGUUCACAAAAUUCAUUUUAAAUUAUUACAGAACGAUAGAAGCAAAUACAGGCAUAAACUUUCUGUCUCUGAUAAAUACUAAGUGGUCUUUCCAAUUUAUUACUUGCUGGUCUGAAACAUUUUUUGCCAUUAAACCAAUAAAGUAUUGCACUCUAAAUCUUUCCUCACUCAAUCUCCAAAAGAAAAUUAUUCAAGUAAUCUUAUCUGGGAGAAAUGAUUAAGGAAAAAAAAGAAAAGUAUGUACUGGGAAAGUGAUGGACUUAACUCAUGUGCCUUGGAAGGUUUUACCUAAACUUUAUUAAAAUAAAGAGUGUCUCAAAGCAUAAAUGGUCAUCUCAAGGAACAAAAAAUGCCUAGAAAAAAAUUCCUAGAUACUGUAAAUGUGGCCUCACUGUCAAUUUUCAAAAUUGUCUUUGAAUCAUUCAGUGUGCUCCCCAUUAGAAAAGUUACACUUUCAGAGGAAAUUCAAAAAUUUGAUAGACCUUAAAAAUUUAUCCUGGAAGAACUUGGAGAAUAAUUUUCUUGUUGAUGUAAUAUUAAAAUUUAACAUGCUGUCUUCACAAUUCUGUCUUAUGUUAAUCAGUACCAUACAGUAAUUCCAUAUGUAAACAUUUGCUUUUUUGUGCAUCAUGAAUAGAAUAAAAUGUAAGUAAUUGACUGGCCUUUCUCCAUUAUUUUUCAUUACUUUGUGUAUCUCCUCAAGUGGAUUUGUAUAUGAAAUAUGAAGGCAAUACAUACAUACAGCUCUGGAAUCUGGGAAAUGAAUCCAAAGGAAGUCAAAAUUAAUGUUCAGAAGUACUUAGUCAGCCUUGACCUCCUCCCUUGAAACCAGUGACAGUUUUAAGACUGAUCCCUUGGGGUAAUGCUGAGCAUUAUUAAAAUCUGAAGAGCAUAACUGUCCUAUGGGAAUGCAUUUGACUGUUUGCUGUUGCAUGUCUGCCUGAUUUUCUCCUGUAUUUUUUUAUGUCAGGAAGUUCCUACUGGCAUAAUUAAUACUGCUCCAAAGAUAUUAUCCACUAUGUUUCUCACAAUUAAAAAAAAAAAAAAAAAAAAAAAAAAAAAAGGCAAUAAAAAUCCAGGAUGAAGAACAGAAAUACAGAUUCAAACAAUUUCAAGGAUAUCCACUUGAUAAUUCAUCCACCUCAGCUGGGACAAGGUACCAAGGUACAAUCCUCUGACAAACUGUGGUUGUCAUUGCUUUCACUAGCAUCUUGAGCCAGUGCAGUAAUGCGAUUUUAAGGUUAAUCAUCCACUUUUAUUGUGUGCUGAUACACCACAGAGCAGUUCUGAUACUCAUGAACUGGAUUCCUACCAGGUAAAAAUCAACCAGAAGUUCCCACACAGAAACUCACCAACUGUGCUCGAACCUCUGAUGGCUACAUAAAGGUCCAGGACAAAAAAUAUUCAUUUGAACAGAUUCUAACAGCAAUCUAACUUAAACUUUUCCCCCCCAUGUUAUGUAGAGAUAGGGUCUAUCCAAGCACUGCUGCUUUGAUCAGCUGAUUCUCUUACGUUAGCUCCACAUAAUAUGUCUAUACAGACAGAUAUGCACAUAAAACAUUGUAGACUUUGGGAACUCCGUUUUAAAAUGUUUGAUGUACCUCCCUUUUAUUUCUUUUCCCCAUAUUGGUUUUCUGGAUCAUCCUGUCUAUAGUCAAUCUGAAGAUGGAAUUAAGUACUUGGGAUGUCAAAAUAUUUAUCUAGUUUGCUUGAUCAGUCGUUCAAAUUUCUCUACUUAAAAUUUUGUUAGUUCAGUUUCUCUUUUUUUUUAAAAAAAAAAAAAAAGUCAUCUUGGUUUUAAUGAUUUCCAUCCAUAUAAAGGGUUUGAAAGAUCAGUGUUGUGGUUGUAACAAACAUAGAAGUUUGAGUAAAAAUAGGUGAAAAAGGAAAUUUAACAUAUUUUGCAGAAAAAAAACAAAAGCAAAAAUCUAGACUAAGUAUGGUCUUCCUUGUUAGACCUGAACUGAUUAUAUUUAAUGAAUUCCUUGGGAGUUCAAUAUUGUCCAGUGGCUAGAUAGACUUGUAAAGUUUCUAUUUUAGAUGUAUACCUCCUAAGCUGUUAUUUCAGGCAUAACCAGGAAAAGGUGUUGUGAAGUGUUCUGUGGAACAUCAACAGGAAAAAAAAAAAAAGGAGCAGUAAUGCGUUUUAACAGCAGAAGUGGAAAAGUGAAACUAGAAAGAUUGUUACUUACAAGUUUAGAUAAACCAAGACAACUGAAACUGAGUAACUGGCUAUAUGAAACAAGCCAUAUUAAUAAAAUUACACAAAGCAAAUUCAGUAGACAUGAAGAUCCUUGGUAAGCUGCUGUCUUACUUCUGCUUGUAUCAGCAGGAUACAGCAGAUUUUUAAAAGCUUUAGUUACCACAGUUUAUAAUAGUUUUUCAAUCCUGUAAUGUGCAAGAAACAUUUGGCAGCAAGUUACAUAUUGUAUUGCAUAGGUACACAUUUCUUAAUAAUCUAUAUUUAUUUGUUUGAUAAAGUUAGCACGAGAUAUAAAAUGACAUGUUUCAUAACAACCUAUUUCUUUGGUUUUGCUAAAAGUCCAGUCUAGUACCAUUAACCUAGAAUGAAUAUUUGUAUUGCAUUUAUUGAUUUUUCUUAAUGCUUAAUUCAAUAUUCUCAAGAUAUUAUAAAAUCAUAGGAUAUUAUUUUAUUUUAUUUUAUUUUAUUUUAUUUUAGUCUGAAAUGAAUUUCAAAGUAAUCAAGUAGUAAGUUUUGCAGUUUGAGUUCUUAAAGUAUCACACUUCCCUGUCUGUGCCUAUGUGUAAAAAAACUAACGUCUCUUUUGUCAUUUCUUGUCUAUGGUCAUAAAAGAGAGAACUAUAUUUAUUCAUUCAUAGAGAUUAAAUGAAUUGUGCAUAUCAAUGAAGAUUAAGAGAUUUCAUGUAAUAUAACUUUACCAACUGUGUUUUUCAAAAAACAACUCAUAUAUUACCAGUUUAUCCAGUUUAUUUUCUGGGAGGAAAAAAGAAAACAAACACACAAAAAAAGCUAAUUUAUCAAUGAACCAUGCACAGUGUACAGAGCCUCUUAAGGAAAUUAUACAGAAACUCUCUGAAAUAGAAAUAUUUACAGUGCAGAUAAGUAUGGAAUCCUUUGCAUAUAAAAUAAAAUACUAUAUAUCAUUCCUUCCAACUAUUCUGUGGACUGCUUGUAUAAAAUUCUCUCUUGAGUUGAACAGUGAAUUUGAUUUUCAGAAAUAAAUACCUUCAAUCAUGUCAUGCAUAGUAAAUUAUCUAUUUUUAUUUUUUUUUACUUUCCAAAAACAAACGUAGGCAGAACUAUGUAUGAAAAUUUUUAUAGAAUAAAUUUUAUUUUGAUAAUAGCAGCAUUUUAUUAAUUAAACUGUUUCAUCAUUAUAAAUUGCAUUUCUGGUUAUUGAUGCAAACAGCCAAACUCUUCAACAAUGCCUAUUACAUUAGAUUUAUAUGACUUUCUGAAGAUCACUAAAUGUUGUUGAGAGACACAGCACAUUUUUCCAGCGCAUAGAUACUUCUGUGAUUAAUUCUUCAAGUUAUAACCCAAUGAAACUAGUAGCUCAAAUAUUCGUAUCAGAUUAUUUCUGAGGGCAGCUGACUCAUGCAAGUCAACCAUCUCAACAGCAACCUGAAUAAUGUGGCCUCUCUAAAGUUAACUCUGGGACAAGGAGAUGAAUAUCAUAUUUGCUGGUCUCUGGGCUGGCUGAGUACAACCUCAGCUGCCCUUGGGGGAGCUCAGCCAGCAACACCUCUGUAUACUCCAGAUUUGGAGAAAGAGAGUUGAGUGCUGUAAAUAUAAUUUCCCCAAACAAGUCCUUUUUAGCAGUGAUAGUUUAACCUUCAUCCUACAAUUUGAGAUUUAAACUGCAUGUCAUAUUUACAUAUCUGCUGUCUCACUUAAGUCUGAGACUAUUAUCCUGUCUCCUACCAAGUUACUGUUUUAGAUAUUCACAUUACAACACAAUCUACCUUAACAUUUUCCCAUUAUGUUAAACUAUUGUUUAAUUUGCCGGCUUUUAUGGAUGUCCUGUACUCUCUUCUCAGUCAAUGGACCUGUGAGCCAAAUUCAGAAGUUAUAUGUAAGGCGCUGUAACAUAGAUCCCAUAAUAUUCACUUGAAUUUUCUCAAUAUUUCAUACUCUGUUCUCUACAAAGUGAAAGGCAAGGUAACACAAUAUAACUCUCACACAAAGUAGCUGAAAGGAGCUGGGUAAACUAAAGCAUCCUCUUCCAUAAAUUAUGUUUACUCCCAUCUGUUUAUGCUGUGAGUUAACUUUCAGUUUAGAGAGUCUGAGAGACAGAAAGAACUAGCAGACACAAGUCUAAAUCAAUUCUCUGUUAGUUGUGUGUGCACUGGUGAUUUUAUAAAUAAACUAUUCAAAAGUAUAGCCUCUGCGUGGGCUAAUUGAGCUCAGAGUCAUUUUAGGUAUGUUAAUUACAGGUCUGCCUGAGUCCAUGUAUUUACAAAGACAUUGUGCUCCUGAGUCAGCAGAACCAAGCAAUCUAAGAACCACUUUUUGUGGGAAAUGCAAAUGAGACACUCACUGCCUCCUGCUGACUUACACUGAGAAGCUAUUGAACUGUCUGGAUUGUUUCCAUUUUCAAUAUCCCGUCUUCUGAGUAAGAUAACAGAGUCCACUAUAAAACAUAUAGUCUGCAUUAUUCAUCACUUAUAUUUUGUGUGUGACUUACAUACACAGUAGUUUGUGACAAUCAAAAAGAGUAAGGACAAAAUUUGAAUCAAGGUACCAUAAAGUUCUGGAUAAAUGUAAAAAUAAAUAAAAGGAAUUAAAUGGAGAAGAUUGUGAACAUGAAGUGAACAAACCAAAUGAGGAGGUUAGUUAUUCUGAACUAUAAUGCAGUUGCUCAUGCUGAGAAAAUAAAAAGUUUAAAACUCAGAGAAAGCUGCUCCUCUUGUUUUCAAAAUUAUUGGAGGGGUGACAGGAAAAACAAACUUUUUUAAAAAGAAAGGGUAAGUUUCUGCAAGAUCUCACUGCUCUAGUGGCUAAAUCCUGUUUCCCUGUUUUCCCCAGGUAUUCAUUGCCUUUCAUGAUUCUUCAGACUGACAACCUCUGUUACAGUGUAGGGCAUCUCAUGGGAGUUGAAGUUUAUACAAUAACAGGUUUUCCAUGUGCAUGUUCAUCCAAAGUGGGUGUUUUUGCAAUAGCUUCUUGCAAUCAUCUUGUUCACAAGCAGAUAGCAAUUUGUGUCUUUAUAAAGUCCUUUGUGAAAUUUAUAACAAUAAAAAUUUGUUUCAGUGUUGCUGAUAUGACUGUAUUAUUAGGAACUGAUAAGUUUUGUAUAUCAAAGAACAAAAUAGCAGUCUAGACCAUACAGAAGAGCUCCAUACCUGAGAUUUUUACCAUAUACAUAGUUACAGAAAGUCACAACAGCAAUAACUUGUACCUUGUUUUGAAUAUAAAGUUAUUUGAAAGCAAGAGAAAAAUUAAUUGGUGCCCAAAUUGAUCUCCAUCUUCUGUGCUACUUGAUUUUCAUUCUAGUGGUGUUCAAAAGCCAGACUGAUGCAGAGAGCUCUUGCAAUACCUGCCUUGUGCAGACAUUGUAUAGAUAUUACCUUGGAAUUAUUGUCAGAUAAAUAUUUGUAUAUGAAUUUAUCAUGCAUACUCACUACUGGAAAAAAAAUUUUUUUCAUAUUUUAAAUCUGGAUCAAAUAUUAAAGAGAUGAGUAUUUGUAUCCCAUUAAACUUUCGUACAAGCAUCAGCAUUAAGCAUUGACUGAUUUUUAGUUAAUUCUAUCUACUUUACAGAUAAAAGGUAUAUAGAAGUAAUUUUUCGUUUGUUUGUUUUUAAAGGAAAAAGAGGGUUGUGCAAGUAAUUUAUGCUGUAGUGCUUUAAUAGAAGACUAUGCCUUUUGCUGCCUUAAAUAAUUCCUUAUUUUCUGAGAGUAGUGACAUACAAAGUACAGACCUGGAAGUAAUAUCAGACUAACACAAACUGACAUUUUGUAUAUACAGCAGAGUUAAAAUUUGCAGUCAAGAUGAUGAGAAAUUUAAUCUAAUUCACCAUCUUGAUCAUGUUGGUGUGGAAAGUCUACGAACCACACAGACACAUGCUUGAUUUUGAUAGGUAUGUCAGUAUCAUUUAUUCCAUAACAAAAAUUAAAGCUAUCUAGUAUUUUAUAGGAUAUCUAUAGGUAUUUGAGCUCUUCAUUUCUAAAAUUCCCCUUUCUCCUACAUGGCAUUCACUUAGUGUACCUCAGAGAGUAGAAAGUGAAGUCCCAUUAUAUGCUCCAGUUCCUAUUCAGUCAAUUAGUAUAUGCUCAGGAGUUAUUCUUCUGUAGCAGACCUGCCUGUAAUUGAAUUUAUGUCAAAUAAGAUGUUGUACUUAUACAUCCACUGGGAGCAGAAAUGAAGGCAUCAGCCAUAAGGUACAGAAAGAUUUCUCUACCCUAUAAUUGCAGCAAAACAGAUGCUAAUUUGUUUUUAGAGUACCUUGCAGAUGCUUGAACAAAACAGAAGCUGGCUUACCUGACUUCUUAGAAAUACUCAGUGAUUGCCCCAUCUGAAAAGAUAUGAGGUCAUCUCAUCUCAUGAAGAUGAUAGCUGACAAUGUUUUUUUGCAAUCUAUACCAUUAUCAUUGCUGUAAGAAUCACCUCUGUACUGUUCCAUCAAUUACAAAUGCCAGGGAAAUUUACAGUGGGUUCAGGAGAUUGUUAAUGAAUUCAAACACACUCAAACUUGAAAUCUUAAUUGGCAUAACCCAACUAGUUGUUCACCACAGAACAGAUUUUUUUUACCAAGCUGCAGUUUCCACUUCCAAACUGAGGAAUACACAGCAGGAAAAAAGAAAAAAGAAAAAAAAAAAAAAAAGCUUUUUCAUGGCAUUACAUUAUUUCUUUUCCUGGAUGUAAAUUUCAACAUAUUAAAUUUCAAAAAUAUAUAUGUAAUUAAUAAAUUAUAUGAGGGAAGACAGCAUCUUUAAUCUCUAGCCCACACAGAGAAUGAGGUUAACUAGAUAAGGUGGCACUGAUACAUCUACUUGGGCUUUGUAACAACCCAUGGUUACCUUGUAUUAAGAUAAUCUCUACUUGCUUUUUUGUUUGCUUAUUUGAUGCCUCUUUACUGAAUUCUUUCAGUGCAAAAGAACCAUGACUAAGUUUAGAUGCAGGCCCUUGGUCAUAAGAUAAAGUACAGCAAAAAGAGAAUAAAACUGAAAAAGUAUAAACUCAAAUAAAUUAAAUUAAGUUGCAAGCAAACUUCAAUAUCAUUGUAUCAGGGCAUUCAAUUACUACUCAAAUGGGAAAGUGAUUAACAGAUCUAUGCACUGAAUCAGUUUUCUUCCAUAAAAACAAAACAAUGGAAAAUCCCAAUGUGUAUUCAGAACCAUCCUGAAGAGUUAAAACUCAUAUUCAGAAGGAUUUAUUCAAUUAGAAGAAAAAUCUUGCAAAAAUAAAUAGAGUGUUUUAACUCACCCUGUGAGAAACUCCUAAUAAGGACAAGUGUUUGAGUGAGAAAAUUUCUUAAGCUUCAAAAAUAAACCCUAUGGCUAAAGGAAAUUCUUCAAAAUGCAUAUUGAAAGUGCUUCUUUUUCUGUUUUAACAGAUGUAAAUCACAUUUCAUUUAAACUGGUGAAAGAACGUUGCAAAUUUGGGCUACAGUGUCUAAAACACGGCUUACCAGCUCAAAAUUGAUAAUCUUUUCCUCUCUCUCUCUCUCUGUCUUUUUUUUUUUUUUUUUUUUUUUUUUUUUUCUUUUUUAACUCAAGAGAGGCUGCAUUUACUAUAAGGCACAGCAGUUAGUACCAGAAGGAAAUAUCCUAUCAUCAGUGUCUGAUUGUCUCAUCAUUAGAUUCUGCUCCAGGCUGUAUUUAUUCACUUCACUUGUUUCUUUCUCUUUCCAGUGUCUACAGCUGCUGUCAAAUCUCAGACAGAAAAAAAGAAUCACAAUCUACUGUAACUGAAAACAUACUUAUUUUUGCAUAGGGAGGAGUGCUACUGCCUUUUUCAAAGCAUAAGACUUAAAAAAAAAAAAAAAUCUUAUUUUAUUUUAUUGACUGACAUGUAAAGAAAACAUCCAAAUCCUUAAUUUUUCUUCCUGCACGAGUGCCACAAAGUCUGGAGGGGGGUGUUAGAUCAAGUGCAUAGUGUAAUACCUUGCAUUUCCAACUCCUUUAUUAGCUCUGUAUAUUUAUAUAUACAUAUUAUAUAUGCAUAUAUAGAGAGAAAUAUAUACUUCAUGCUUGUUUCUAAAGAAACAUUCUCAUGAUUAGGUGUCAUCUGCCUUUAACGUUACUCAAAGGUAGUCAUUUGGCAUCUGGCUGACCUGAGCCCAGCCUUGGAAAGUAUAAGCUGCAUUACCUUAUCCAUCAAUAUGACCCAAACUAAUUACUCUAUCACUUAUCAUGAAAAUUAUCUUAAAACAAUCGCCUUUCAUUUUUUAGAAUAUUUUAAUUUGAUUAACUAAUACUAUUCCAAAAUAAAAAAUAAAGGUUCUGGUUUAUUGUAAAUGCUGCAAGUGCUCUUCCUCUGGCUAUAGCACUUUUUUAAUGCCUUUGCUAAUGGAUACAAUACAGUGUGUUUUAGAUGUGAGAUUUAUACUUAAUUGGCAUGUUUUAUUUUCCACAUGUUCUGCAAAAGCUGUCAAAAGCUGAGACUAUGCUUUUGCUAAGGAAUUAAUCAUCAUUAAACACUAAACCAAAAGUAUGUAAAGUAACUUGUCAGAAAUUAACAAGCUCUGUAGAUUCAGCAGGCUCAUCUCAGAAUAAGUGUGUAGGACAUCUUCAAUGGCCACAUUGUUAUAAAUGUAGUCAAAUUCCAAUGCACAGUCUAUGAUUGAUUCUUUUUAGAAAUGUAUUCGAUUGACUAAAGUCUCUUGCCCAUGAGAUUGCCAGAAAUUAGACAGCUGACAAAUGAGUUAAGAAUUAACUUUUUUUAUAAUAUGCUCAAAUUAAUAUAUAGUUGUCAUGUUCAUAAAAUCCAUUAACUUUAGUACAUAGUGUAGUUCAUCAUGGAGCAUUUGCAGAUUUGCUCAUUGUGUGGUCCUUGUCCAACACGCAUUCUGAUGGUGAUCAGAUAUUUCAGAGCAAUUGUAACAUUGUCUGCCAAAAUAAGUAAAUAAGUAAAUAAAUAAAUAAAUAAAUAAAUAAAUAAAGUAAAAAAGCUUCAAGAAAAUUGCAUUACUUGUCUACAGAAUACUAUUACAUUUCUCAGGCUGCCAGUCAUUCUUUCCUAGUCAAACACACACAAAUCUCAUAUUUAGCUGAACUGAAUGCUCCAUUUACAGUAAACAUUGAAUAGAUCACAUUAUUUCCAGGCCAUGAAGAAAGUAUGUACUUAGCCAUUUUUUUUAAUGGAAAAACCUUGGAUAGUGAUUUCCUUAAAAAAUUAGGACUAUGUGUUUAGAAGACAGAGAAUUAACAGAUAUAGAACAAAAUAUCUGUAACUCUGAUGAGUAGAAAAUCAGAGAAGUAGUCCUAAAACCACAUAAGCAGACAAUGAAUUGCAAUCUCCUAGGGGAAGCAGGGGCAGCCAAGAGAAAGAGCUACCAUAUAAGGGUGAGAGUUGACACUGAACAUCGAAGAGAGUUCUACAGUAUGUAGAAGCAAGACAUGAAUAGUAGCUGACAGAGCCUGGAGUUUUGAAAGUGCUGUUUAUCCAGCGGGCAGCUCAGCGCUACAGAACUGUUUCCUGCUGGAGAGAGAAUCAGAAUAAAAAAAACAACAAAGUAGAACACUUGGGUUCAGAUAAAAACUAUUUACUAAGGCAGAAAAUGAAGAGAAAUUGAAAAUAAUGAUAGUAAUGAUAGUAAUAUAUAUAUGUAUAACACAAAUGAUGCACAGCACAAUUACUCACCACCUACCAAUCAAUGCCCAGACAGCCAACUCCUCAUUGUUUUACAAACUUUUUUUUUUUUUUUUUUUUUUUUUUUUUGUAUGAUGCUAUCUGUUAUGUAAUAUCUCUUUGGCAAGUUCAGAUCUGUCCUGGUUCUGUCUCCUGCCAGCUUUCUGUGCCCCAUCAGCUCCCCUUGCUGGCAGAACAGUACAAGAUACUGAAACAUCCUUGGCUCUAUGUAGCCACUCCUCAGCAACAACUGAAGUAUUGGUCUGCUAUAGAUGUUGUUUCUCUCCCAAAGCCAAAACAUCACAUCAUACCAGGCACAAUAAAUAGAAGAAAAAAGAAAAAGAAAAAAAAAAAUCAACUCUGUCCCAGCUGAAACCAGGACAGAAGGGCAUGGACCUGAUUACUACACAGUGAGAAAAAAUAAAAGCAGAUUUUAUCUAGACCACUAUGUGCCUGGAUAUGUUUAUCUAUGUAUUAGAUAUAAUAAAAUGUAAGCAGAACCCUAUGAAACACCAGCUUAUGCAUAAUGUUUAUUAUUUCAAAUUUGCUUCUGAAAAGUUAACUCGUGUGAGGCAAAACUUAGAGUCAAGGGGUUUGCAAACUACAGGGGUUGUUGCCAGUCUGGAUGCCAGCAACUGAGUCAUGGGUUGUCAGAUCUCAGGCAAGUUGCCUCUAAGGAUUUGGCUCCUGUCCUUGGCAAAGGGCUGUGGACACAGUGAAAUUUGAUUCAAGACCAGUCACAAAAACCUCAAAAGUGUCUAACCAGAACCAACUUGGCUAUGGUUCUAACAGAGUAUUAAUAUCCUCAAGUGACUGAAAAAGUAGCGCUGAGGGAGAAAAAAUAAAGGCAGUCUCAUAAGCCAAAGUAAAAACAUGGGGUAGUCUCAGAGAUUAAUACAGUGGCUGACCUUUAAAAUGUCAUUAAAUCAAUCUUCAAGAAAUCAAUUCUCAUUGAAAUCACAUUAAUCUAGCCUUCUAUUCAUCCUACUCUGAGCAACAAUCUUAUUUGCUGCUGUUCUCAGUGUUCUCUGGUGUAACACUUCUUUUGCUUAUUCUGUACAUCUCUUGAUAUAAAUGAGUUUCCCUGUGUAUGUGCACUUUCAAACUCAAGGUUAAUAAGGCAACUGCUUAUUUAAUAGAGACAAUCGCAGUAACUCUUCUCCCUAGAUGUUCUGUGAUGUAUUUCGUGAGGCAUUUAGGGGAGCAGGUAAGUUCAAAUGUCCUCAAUCACAUAUAUGACAUGUAGUUCCCAGUUUUUGUUCAUCAAGACUCCAGAGAAAGAGUGAAGUAUUGUUUUUUUUUUUUUUUUUCCCUCCAGAUCCAGAGGGCUUACUAUCUUGUGAUGAUUUCAUGAAAUUGUACUAAAAGAAAGAGAAAAAAGCACAGGUCAAAAUUUUAUUGGCAUAAUAGAUUGUCACUUGGGACUGAUGUCUAGUAGACAUGAGGUGUAAAAUUUUACACUGUUAAACACCUCUGUGCCAGGAAAGACCAUGGAGCAGAUCCUCCUGGAAGCUAUGCCAUGGUACAUGGAAAAAGGAGGUAAUAUGGGAGAACCUGCAUAGAUUCACCAGGGGCAAAUCCUGCUGCAUCUACCUAGUGGCCUUUUAUGGCGAUGUCACUGCAUCAAUGGUCCAGGGAAGAGCCACUGAUAUCAUCUAUCUGGACUUCAGUAACGCUUUGAAAUGGUACCCCACAAUAUCUUUCACUCCAAAUUGGAAAGAUAUGGAUUUAAUGGGUGGACUGCCCAAUGGAGGAAGAACUGGAUGUAGGAUUGAGUCCAGAGAGUGGUGAUCACUGGCUCAAUAUCUGGAUGGAGAUCAGUGAUGAGUGAUGUCCCACAAGGGUCAGUGCUGGGACUGACACUCUUUAAUAUCAUCAUCAUGUGGUUCGAGUGCACCCUCAGCAAAUGUGCAGAUGACACCAACCUAUGGGGUGCAGUGAACGCACCAGAGGGAUGAGAUGUCAUCCAGAGGGACCUAGACAGGCUUGAGCAGUGGGCGUAGGUGAACCUCACCAGGUUCAACAAAUCCAAAUUAAAGAUCUUGCGCGUGGGUUGAGGCAACCCUCACUACCAAUACAAGCUGGGGGAUGAAAGAACUGAAUGCAGGGCUGCCAAAAAAGACCUGGGGGUAAUGGUGGAUGGCAAGCGGACAUGAACCAGCAAUGUGCCCUCACAGCCCAGAAAGUCAACAGUAUCCUGGGCUGCAUCAAAAGAAGCGUGGACAGCAGAUCGAGGGAGGUGAUCCUGCCCCUCCACUCUGCACUGGUGAGGUCUCACCUGGAGUUCUGUGUCCAGAUGUGGAGUCCUCAGUACAGGAGGAGUACAACAUAGACCUGUUGGGGCGUGUCCAGAAGAGGGCCGCAAGAAUGAUCCAAGGGAUGGAACACCUCUCCUGUGAGGACAAGCUGAGAGAGCUGGGGCUGUUCAGCCUGCAGAAGAGAAGGCUCUGAGGUGGCCUUUCAGCAUCUACAGGAGACUUACAGGAAAGAAGGGGACAGACUCUUUAAUAGGGUUUGUGGUGAUAGAACAAGGGGAAAUGGCUUCAAGCUUAAAGAGGGUAGAUUUGGGUUGGAUAUAAGGAAAACUCUUUUCCAGUGAGGGUGGUGAAGCACUGGCACAGGUUGCCCAGAGAUAUGGUUGAUGUCCAGUCCCUGGCAACUUUCAAGGUCAGACUGGAUCAGGCCCUGGACAACCUGACCUAGCUGUGGAUGUCCCUGUUUACUGCAGGGGUGUUGGACUAGAUGACCUUUAGAGGUCCCUUCCAACUCCAAGGAUUCUAUGAUUCUAUUAUUCCAUAUUCUUUCCAGGUUUUUUGAUAUUAAAGAAAGUUACAUGUUAUAACAGCCUGAGGGCAUAUUCCCCAAAGAAUUUUCCCUAUUCUUUUAUACUGAAAAUGGUUUAUAACAGCAGAUGCCAAGCAGCUUAAGUCACCUUUAAACUCCGCAACAAUCUUGAUUCCCUAAAGCGGAAGAAUCAAUUUCAGUACUCCCCUUCAUAUUGCUUAUACCACGAGACUUGAUGUUGUAACUCUGCUGCCUGUACACUUAUGCCAGAAAUUGAACAAUUGUCUGCUAAUAAUACCUGGUCCAAGAGCUAAUGGGAUGUGUCACUCAGCAGUAUGGGACACAGGAUUGUUCCUGGCAUGAAUAGCAGCUGUUUCUAUGGAGGUUCAGGGUGUCAAGGCAAGACUUCUGAAACAACACAGCAAAAUGAAACACAAACCACUAACUUUUAAAAAUUGUGAAUUCUUGUCCAAAUCAGUAAAUAUAUUUAUAGGCCUCCAAGAAUGGUCCAGUUAGUCCAUCUGAGUGAGAUGUGGGAAACCAAAUGUAAUCAUCUGCUGAGUGAAGACUGUAGACUGACAUCUUCGAAUAUCCCUGGCUUGGAGCUGAUAAAUGGAUGCAUUCCUUCAGCUCCUCUUGUUGGCUAUUCUCAGUUCCAGGUACCUGUCUGGAAGAGAAGAAGAACUACGGUCCCCAAGAGCCUUUUCAAGUACUGUUAUCAUUCCUGCUCAAGGGAACAGAUAUAAGGGCGCAGGUCAUCUGACUCGGCCCUCUUCUCAUCUUGCUGUGUUCCCUGCCGGAUCGGCUCGCUACUGCUGCUCCUGACUGCAUGCAAGGCUUCAGUAUUAGCGUGAGGCCUUUGGCUCUCGGACAAUCUUUCUCUCAAUUAUUGUUGAUUUAUAUUGCAUUAUAGUGUGUUAUCUUACAUUCCGAUACUAUAUUUAGUAAAUUAGUUUGUUUCUCCUCAGAUCGUUGCCACUGUUUUUAAUUAUUUUGGGGUCCCCUUUUUCCCUUCCUGGAGGUGUGGAUUUUGCGAAGUCCCUCUGCCCCACUAGUCGCGGAACUGGGCCGGACCAGCCCUUAAACCGUUGACACAUCAUAGGCCAAAAAAAUAAAAAAAAGAGACACUGCAUUCACAGUAGAUCUCAUAUAUUAAAACUGACAUAUAUUGAAUUUGGUCUAGUAUAUUUUAGGUCUAAACAUUUUAAGAAUAGAAACUGGAGGCAGCCGAUAGAAGACUGUGUUCAAUUGUAAUGAGAAAAUAAAUGUUGUUUUAACCACACCUAAUCUGGCAACCUAACAGCUAAAACACUGCUGCAGACUAGCACUAUAAUUUAAAAUUUUAAAAAGGUUAUUAAUAAUUUGAUAUAUGAAACACAGGUAUUUUACUGAAGAGGAAUGAAGAAAGAAUGAGGGACUGAAGGAAAGAAUAGAGGAAGAAACAGAAGGAGAUGACAUUCAGUGGGGAAUGAUUAUGAUGAGGUCCUUCCUUCUCCUUUCCAUGUUUCCCAGACUGACAACAUGAGGUAGUGGGCAAUUUUUGAAAUGUCACUGGACUCAGAUUUUAUUUUGUUUACUAUGAAGGAUAAUCAUUCAGAGAGCUGUGGUUUAGCACUGCACACUCAAAUCUAAGUAAUGUAUAUUUUUAGGGUUUCUAUGGCUCUUCUGAUCUUUAUUUCUUGAAAAGAUCCAUUUGCCUCAAGACUGUUCCUCUCCUGCCAACAUUAAUUAAAGGAAAAUAGGUAGGAAUUACCCUUGAGUUAAAAGGAAGUCUUUAAUAGCUCCAGGAAAGGUGAAAAUUGUUUUCAGGUAUUUUGAUUCAAUUAUUCUACCUAACAUUCAUUCUGUCUACAUAUAAUGAAAGGAUAAAUAACCAAGGAAUGAGACAGAGGCAAUUUGUGGAAAAAAAAAAAAAAAAAGCCAACAGGAAUGAUCAAAGACAGCAAAUAUUGAAAAGGAAAAUAUACCUUUUUAAUUCUUCUAGUUCUCAGUCUUGUUUACCUUUCCUUUUUCAUCGUCAGUCUGCUUUAGUUUAUAUAUCACGUAUUGAUUGAUCUUGAGCUAGUAAGUGGAAUCAGAUCCACCCCCUCUCCUGAAUAUCUGUUAUACCAAAAGUCAUAUGCAAAACAGAAUAACUGUACCAUCUUCAAAAAGACUAUUAAAGGAGAAACCACUGCUUCACACUGAGUCAGUUUAAACAUCUGAUAACCAUUUCAGCUGAUGCACACACCCAGACAUAUCUCCUGAGGAGUGAGACAGCUGCCCAGACCUUUGGCUCUAGGGAACUCUUGAAUCUAGUGGCCACCCAUGGGACUGAGGAAGGUGAGGGGUAUCAUGGGUGCAGAUGUGCCCAACUGAAUGAUCUUCCUGAGCACGUGACCAGGCUGCAAGAGGAGGUCAUCGAAUCAUAGAAUCAUAGAAUGGCUUGGGUUGGAAAGGAUAAUCUUUGCGGCCCUCCUCUGGACCCUCUCCAUGUGCUCCACAUUUUUUCCUUUAUUGGGAGUCCCAGACCUGGAUGCAGUACUUCAUAUGAGGCCUCACAAGGGCAGAGUAGAAAGGGACAAUCAUUUCCCUGCCCCUCAUGGCUACCCCUCCCCUCAUGCAGCCAAGGAUACCACUGGUCUUUUGAGCUGCAAGAGCAUACUGCUGGCUCAUGUUAUGCUUUUCAUCCAUGAGGACUCCCAAGUCCUUCUCCACAGGGCCACUCUCAGUGAGUUCUCCCAGUCUGGGCACAUAUCACAUAUCUGACAUUACUCUGACCUAAGUGCAAAAUCUUGCAUUUUGCUAUGGUGAACCUCAUUAGGUUCACAUGUGCCCACCUUUUGAGUUUGUUGACGUCCCUGUGGAUCAUGGCCCUUCCUUCUAACAUGUCAACUGUGCCACUCAGCUUGGUGGCAUCGGCAAACUUGCUGAGGGUGCACUUGAGCCCACCAUCGAUGUCACUGAUGAUGUUGAAGAACAGCAAUCCCAAGUGCAGUGAAUGCAGUGCCCAUGCUGUCCCACCGCACACAUAGAAACAGAGCAGAUUGAGUCAGGUGAGUAUGAUCUGGAUUUCCUACAGCCCAGUUGUGAGGAGCCAGGACCCAGGUCACAUCUGGGAUCCAAGUCUGUGUGGAUGGGCCUACUCUAGAAAAUGAAAAACAGUCUGAAGGGAAUCAGAUAAAGACUUCUCUGGAGAGCAGUCAUUUUUUUUUUUUGUAUUUUAUUUAUCUGAUGGACAGUUCAGUGGGCCUUUGAUUUAAAUUCCUAUGUGCUUAAACAGUGAUAAAAGACUGAAAAUGCAGAGAAAAUUACUGUCCAGUGUCAUCUCCCUAAAUAAAAUUUGCUGUAAUCUUCAUACACUUUUUUUCUUUCUGUUUUUUUUUUUUUUUUUUUUUUUUUUUUGCAUAAAUAACAAGUUUGGAAAUUUUAAGAUACUUUUAUUUUCUCAAUGAUUUCAUUCUCUACUGCAGUUUUAUAUCUAUGUUUACCGAUGUUUCCACCAUUUUCAAGAAAAGCCCGGAAUCUUUCUUCAUUUCAUAUGACUCUUGAUUUUUUUUAUUUUGUGUGUGUGUGUGUGUGUGUGUCACUAUUUACUGAAGCUGCUGUUAUCCACAAUUUUCCUCAGUCUUAAUGCAAGGAUAAGUUUUACCCUUAUAGUUAUAAAUAAUAUUGCAGUGAUACAAAAACUUUACUUUAUCCCAGUCAUGCUUACCAGAGCUCCUGGCAGAAUCCCAAAAAUCAGCCUCAGCUGCAGUAGUACACAGUUCAAUCCUCACUUUAUUCCCAGACUUGAGUUACCCUUUUCUCCUUUUGUUUUAGCAGAUGUAACAUUACGGCAUCAUGCUUGCCCUUACAUUUUAUGGCCAAGAAGGAAAAUGUUCCUCAUGGAAGCCUUGGAUACUGUAAUCAUCAGACUUUCUCUCCCAGCUUUUUGUCCCUGAACUUGGCCUCUUGUUUCUGUCCAAUUGUCCUGAAUUUAUGGGAUCUGGGUAGUUCAAGCAAAUCAGUCCCCAGAUUGCUCUGAAAGCAGCCAAACUCCCAUCUACAUACUUAAGGUUUUGUAAAACAAAAGGGGAAAGGAGGGCAGAGGGAAGCCAACAGGUUAGUGGGGCUUCUCUUUAUGAUUCCUCAGGGGAAGAAAAAUAACACUCUAAUGAUUUAAACAGCCUGAUGUGUGUUGUCAAGGCCCAUAAGUCAGCACCAAAGAGGUAUAUGCAGCAUGCCCUAUAGCAGCUAAAAAAUGCAUUUGCCAUAAAACGAUACUGUGUUAUUCACCUAAUAUUAUCCACAAAUCCAGCCCAGGCCCUUUAGUAGGUGACCAAUUUAAAUAAGGUAAAGCUCUGGAGACUGGCCAUUACUAUACAGUGUACCUUUUAGAACCACUCUACAAUAAUGAUCUACCUGAGAAAAUACCCUUUGUACAUGCUUCUUUUCUCUUUUUCUGGUUUCAGAAUCUUAAUUUUGACAGUAUUAAGGUAUUUUGUAAUAUAGUUAAUUUUUGCUGUAAACAGAGUCAGUGCUUCUAAUUUAAGGAGUCCCCACAGUGUUUAAUCUGCAAUUAAUUUGAAUAAAAUAUUUAUGUUAGAGAUAACUCAUAAUCAAAAUGACGUUAAUAUGAUGCGUAUUUGAAAUUACAAGCAGUACAACAUAUGCAUAUUUUAUUAAACAUUCAUAACAUCAUCGAGGACAACCAUUAAUCCAUUACUCAAGAUAACUUUAGUCUAUCUCUAUUUGAAGCUGGAACAUUAGAGAGGGAGAGAGUUUUCUCUGAGAUGCAACACAAGGUACAUUAAGGAGACAGUAAAUUGGUUCUCACCUCUGUUUCAUGACAUCCUGGCAUAAACAGAUCCCCAAACAUGGAAAGGCACAGAAGUGUUGCUGAACAAGGUGCAACCAUGUCAGCCCAUCAUGUGUUGGCAAAUAUCCUUCACUGAAGCUGCAGCGCUGAAGCCACUAAAUUUAUCUCAAAUUUGGAAAUUAGUCACUGAACAUCAUUGAUCAUAUUUUUGAUAUGGCCAAGGAAUUAUUUGGCCAUAAUGUUUUCUGAAGUCAAAUCUGAGCUGCCAGGAGAUACCACUCAGUAACAAUGCUUUGCAUGUUAGCAAAAUAUGUAUUAUUUCUGUCAAUUAGCCAAGCAGAGAAGCUGAGGAUCACUACAUUUUAAUACAGGCUCACUUAACUUUCAGUAUUAUUAAGACCCUGUGAGUCACUCAAAAUAAUGAUUCCAAGUGGGGGGAAGGAAAGGCAGAUAAUGAAACCUGCAGACAUGGAAGAAGUUUUAAUACUCCUAGGAGGCAUUAUACAGAAUGCCAGACUGGACACCUACUGAAAGUGCUGGAACCAUUGUCUUUCUGUAAAAGUAAGUAAAUGCUCAAAAUAAAUUCAUCAAGCUAAUGCUUAUUUUAUAAAAGCCAGACCGAUUUUUGUUGAGGGGAGGGAAUUCUUAUCUUAUAUUUAAUCUGGUCAUUAUUUUUUUGUAGGUUGGGCUGAAUGGAAAGUAGUUAUUGCUUUUAAUUUUGGAUCCUAAAACACUAUAAAAGUACCACUCACCUAAACUUCCACAUAAUGAAGUGCAGUAACCCUUCUGGAAGAACCAGUGGAAAAGAAAAGAGAGAAAAAAAAAUAACAAAAGCAUCAGAAGCAUCACCCUGUGGCACCUGUUGACAGAGGGAUAAAGAAGAAAGUUUAAUCAUUGUUGUGUGACCCCCCUGGACAGCUUUGUGGUUGUCAAUCAGCAUCAUGCAGAGCUGUAGUGUGCCACUCGCAGUGGUGAUGACCAGGCCUGCCCCAGGUUUCUCCUUCACUAUUUUGUAGGACAUCUGUAGUUCUUCCUUUAUCCAGAUUUGUUGCUCAUUCCCUUAAGAUCCCAAUUUAUACAGUCCAUUUUCAAGAUUCAAAUAAAUUUGGAUUUGUUAUAUCUGCAGGUAGAUAUCAGAACAUUCACCUUGCACUCUUUCCUUUGUUCAAGGAGCUUUAUGAGGUUUUUCUGUUUACUGGUAUUAUUUUAUUUUUCAGCUAUAAAUUAACUUUAUAGUAAGCAUAUUUACUCCUGUGCCAGGGGACAGUUCACUAAAGUUAACAUAUAUUUCCAAUGUAUGACUAGAAUUCAACUUAGCACAGAAAAAACUUUGGGUUGUUGGGUUUCUUUUUUGUUGUUUUUGUUUUGUUUUGUUUUGUUUUGUUUUCUGUGUCCUACAAGCAUAAGAGAUCAAAAGCAAUCACUUUUGCAGAGCAGGGGGUAUUUUACAGUUUUUUUGAGGAUCUCUACCUCUUUAGGCAGGAACAAUAUAAUAUGUACCUGACACACACUAAAGUAGAAGAUAUAAAAUGUGGUUUGCCCUGACUAGUCUGGGAACAGAAACAGAAUGAAAAGCUUAUCUUUGUUAAGUGAGGUAUCUACAUGCUAUAAGUCUUUGUAGCCCUACAUCCUCCCAUUGUUUUAGGAAAGACAGAGCACCUCUUUUCAAUUAGGAAAAGAAUGCAAGCCUCUAAGUCUGCCUGCCUGUUUUUCCACUUGGACAUGGACCUAUCACACAAUUCACUGAAUUCGGAAAGGAAAGUCACAGUACUAGUUAACAUUUUUAUGACUUGUUUACUUAGAGAAAUAACAUUUAACCACGCAAUCUAUUUUAACUAAAAGAAAAGAAAUACUCAAAGAAUGUGUAUCAGAGGAAUCUACUGUUUGUAUAAAAAUAUGCUUUCUAUCACAGAGAUGAGAUCGUGCCAGAAACUUGUUAUGAUUUCUCAACAUUCUGUAGCAUGUGAGGUAAAAAAAAAAAAGGCAACUUUACAAUAAAUACAUCUGCGUACUGUUUUUGUAAAUCUGCAAAGUAAGAUUAAAAAUUAUUUUUCUUCAUAUCAUUAAAAUCAAUAAAAUAUAAACAAGCAUGGAAGCUUCUCAGAUAAUAAGCAUCAUAAAUCUACAGUUUAGUUUUCUUUAAAAUGUUCUGUUUACAUGCAGAAAUCCUGCUGAAAGAUGUGGCAGGAACCAUGGUAUUAUCUUCAUUAAAAAAAGAUAUUGCAAUAUGUUAGUGUCCACAUGUUUACUUUGAAAUAGAUCAUAAUGUCUGAGGAAGUAAACUCAGCAUUCCUCCAUCCUAUGGAGGAUGAGGGGACACAUCUCCUUUGUAAGCCACAGGUUCUAUAUUUGCUACAAACAAGAAAAUAAUUCUAUGUAAUGUUACUGUUAUUGUACAGAAAGAUACACACACACACAUGAAACUAUGAAAUACAGUUUUGUAUCUGAAUUUGAAGCAGAAUUUCUGGAGUUGAUACACAUUUAAAUAUAAUUCAUCUGUCAAGAUACAGAAGGGAACUACAGUACAAAUAAAAAAAAAUCCUAUUAAGACCGUAACACAAAGAAAGAAUUUAUCAAAUCUCUCUGUCUUUCAUUACGUAGCACAGUCUUUUUUUAUACUGUUAGAUUCCGUGUUUUAAAUUAAAAUUAAAACAAGUUGCAAAAUAUAACAAUGAAUUAUAACUUGUGGUUUUAGCAUUCUGCAUCUACCUUGCCUUCAGAAGUUCUAUAGGAUGGUAAAGGCAUACAAGAAGUGACAGUCUCAAUGUUUUUUUAAUAUUAGUGGCACCAUGAAGAUGUCACAUAUUUUUUAAAAAAGUUCAUUACUGUAGUAAAAAACUAGUGAUGAUUAACAUACUAGUUCCUCUGUUGCUUAUUUUUUCUAAAAAAAUUAAUUGCAGAAAUAACAACUUGUCAGCCUCCGUCUACUUAUGUAUUUUUGUACUGACAGAUACAAAAGUAUGUCACAGAUAGUAUGUCAUUGAUUUUAUGCACAAAAGUAUCAUGCAAUAAUCAGUACUCACUGUUCUUAAGGCAAAGAUUAAUACCAAUAAGACAAGGAACUCACGUUUAGUGUGAAGAUUGCUCGUGCUUAGAUUAGAUUGUUGCAGAUUAUAAGAAGAUGCAAUUCCUUUACAUUUACUGGUGUUCUGAAAGUUUGCUUUACAAGUAGAAGUGCUAGAAUCACAUUUUAUUAAAUAAAAACUGAAUUCUGAAACAAAAUACAACACAGGUAAAUUCUGUUAAUCCUUUGAGUCUAAAGUAAGGACUAAAACAUUACCAGAAAUGAAUGGUUAAAAAUCAAAAAGAUUUUGUUUGUUUGUUUCACAAUGAACUAUUAUGUUUCCUUUGACACUGAGACACUUUCUAAGGAGUCACUUCUGCAAAGAAGGAAAUCACUUUUGAAGAAA